GGGUCAGUAGGUUGGUCGUGCCACCGGUACGUACUGGUCUCACUGAUUCCUCCUUCCUGAAGAACCGUAAUGCCAUUAAUUUGGUGUUGCGGGGAAACAGGACUGUUACUCUGAAAAAAUUUGAGUGUUUAAAGCAAGCUAACGCUUGAAUACAUUAGCAUGGAAUAAUGAAAUAGGACGAUCGAUCCUAUUUUGUUGGUUUCUAGGAUUGACGUA
rnacentral:rRNA from 1 species